AAAAACCUUUUUUUUUUUCUUGAUCCCCUGCAAGUCUGUAUUUCAGUAGUUCUAAAUAAACAUCUACCUUAACUCCUCCUCUCCAUGGCUUUUGUUUGUUUUAAGGUGUUUCCAAAAGCACCUAUGUGUACCAGGGAGUUUUAUUUCUGAAACCCGGAUCUAACGUCCUAGUUGAGUAUGCAACAAUUGCAGCAAUUGCACUAGAAAUAAAACCUGCUUAGUUAAGCCUACAGCGAUAACUCUGGAAAGGCUGACUGAUGAUCAAGACAAAAACUUUGAGUUCAUCCUGCAGUUUAGACUUCGGGACUUGCCCUUUUUUAAGGCACUCAGAAGAAACAUGUAAACAAUCUUCCAGAUAAAAAAGUUGCCAUAAGUACACAUGGUGGAAGAUGGGAACAAGCAGGGUGAGCUCAAGGACUCCCGGAAGCCCGGCUGUUUCGAUCCCGAGAAAUUCCGUGCCGGAUAGAGCAGCGGCGGGCAGAGCAGCGCAGCCAC